UACGUAGGGUGCGAGCGUUGCCCGGAUUUAUUGGGCGUAAAGGGCGCGUAGGCGGCCUGAUAAGUAGGGGGUGAAAUCCUGCGGCUUAACCGCAGGGCUGCCUUCUAAACUGUCAGGCUAGAGCACAGUAGAGGCAGGUGGAAUUCCCGGUGUAGCGGUGGAAUGCGUAGAGAUCGGGAAGAACACCAGUGGCGAAAGCGCUCUACUGGGCCUCAUCUGACACUGAGGGACGAAAGCUAGGGGAGCGAAAGGG
rnacentral:rRNA from 1 species